CAUACUAACUUAGUAUCGGGUAUAACUGUAGAGUUGCGGUGUCCGCAGCAACUCACAACGUUCCCCCUCGUUUUAAAUUAUAAAUGUGAAAUUAGGGCUCGAUCCCAAUGCCAAUCCGUAUCCCAAGUUGGUAUGGAUCUAUGAUGUUGGUUGGAGCCCAGAGUAGGCCCAGAGCCUCGGAAAUAAGUUGUUUGGAGUGUUGGAGCUGAUUUAGUUUAGUUACAAUUACAACUACAGUUACAGCUAUGGUUAAAGUUAAUGUUAAAUCUAAUCUUAGGACAAAUGCUGCAUAGGCCCAGAGCCUCGGAAAUAAGUUGUUUGGAGUGUUGGAGCUGAUUUAGUUUAGUUACAAUUACAACUACAGUUACAGCUAUGUUUAAAGUUAAUGUUAAAUCUAAUCUUAGGACAAAUGCUGCAUACAAAAAACAAAGCGAAAGCGAGACGAGAAGCGGAGGAAAUAUUUGCUGUAAAUACUUGAUUUAGUAUAAGUUUUAAACAUAGGUUGUAAACCCAUUACAAGAUACGUAAGCAUGCAAGUCGCACUAUCAGAUUAAUCUGAUAAAUCGCACUAUCAGAUUAAUUAUUGAGAAUGGAUACACACACACACCCACACAAAACCAUAGACACAGAAAGAGAUGUACUCAAUGUUCAAUUAAUACUUGAAAUUUCGUGCAAUUUGUCAAUUAUGUUCUUUCGAUUAUAUUGUUUUAUUAUCAGUUCUGUUCGCGUAAGCGGAGUGUUCGUUCUUCUAGAGAUUUGAUUGAUUUUGAAAAAGGAUAAUACACAUACAUACAUAAAAGAUAGAUUUAAAGUGGAUUUCUAUUCAAGUUUUCGUGCCUAAGUUUUGUAUUUUUUACAUUUACAAGCCGUUUGUAAAACAUCAACAAUUACAACAACAACUACAACAGCAUCAACAAACAACUCAACAAAAUAUAUAAUUUAAAUAAAAUUAUUCAAGAAAUUAUCGGUUUUUUUUUUGCACUUUCUGUUGACAAUGUUUAUUUACAUUCUGUAUAUUUUCUUAUGCGAUGCGGCCCUGUUUGCACAGGCCCCAGUGAGGAUGCGAGUGUGGGUGUGUCUCCGGGUCUGUUGCAAUGUCAAUUCCCCAUUUCGAUUCGAUUCGAUGUUUCCCCCAAUGUUUGACCAAGAGGUAAACGCGCUCGGCAAAUAUUGCAUGACCUGUUGCACUUUAUACAGCAGCGAACGAAAAGUGAACUGAACAGAACAGAACAGUAUUUUGUAUAUUUGUAUUUGAGACGAUAUUACUCGGCCCGCCUCCGUGUCCGCCUCUGUCCGCACGCUGUGCUGUGCAACUGUGUCCAAAUGCAGACACAUGCGAAAAACAGUGGCAGUUGGAGCGCCAGAUGAGAUGAGAGAUGAUGAGCAUUAAGAAAUAAGCAAACAUCACACACUCUACAGGUUUCCCCAUUUGAGUAGCUUUACACGUACAUUUAUGUAUGAGAGCCGAAGAGGAGUACGAAAUUAUAUGUCUACCAUAUAGAAAGAAAAACAAAAUACUAUAGAUGAUAUUUUCUAGCAAUAUAUAACAGACACUAUAUACAUAAGCAAAACAAAGGUGAACGUAAAAAAAAAUGCCCUGAUCUGAAGCGAAACUGAAGCAAACUUUUACCAGCGAAAGUAUCGUAUCUCAUCAAUAGGCGAAUGGUAUCUUUUGCUAUGAAAUGAUCUCUGAUUGAUCAUAGAUUAUGUAAAUGUAUAUAUAUAUACACACAUAUAUGUGUAUGUUAGUAUACAGAGUACAUAGAUUGCACUCUCCUUGAAUGUUGUACGAGAGAAUGUUGUAGCAUUGAGUUUUCAUAUGAUUUGCAAAAGACUUUUCGGAAUUUCCCAAAACUUUUUCUUUGGUUUGAAUGUACAUAGAAAUCCUGGUAUAUAACUUCACUGUGUAGUGUUGCCUUAAAAACAGUGCCUCUUUUUAAUAAACAAGCGAAAACGAUAUAAAAUAAAAACCAAACAAACAAAAAGGAAAAUAAUAUAAAUAUAAAUGUCGUACUAUGUUGGACAACUCGAUGGUGAAACAUUUCAAUACAGAGUGUAAGGCCACCCUCUAUAAAGUCCCCGUCCCGAGAGAAAAACUCAAACUAAAAGCAGCACGUAAUGUACAAAAAGACAAAUUUCAAUUGGCAUUGAGAGAGGGAAGUGGAGACCGCUUAUCCAGAGAACUAUAAAACUACAUAGUUUAGCAAAACAAUAUAUUGAUGAUAGUUUACAUAGAUAAUAUAUACAUACAUGUGUACGCAAAUGUGUGUAUGAAUAACGAUGCACUGUACAGAUGACAGUCUACAAGACGAUCUACGGUCACAGGGACCACUCACAGCACAGACAGACUACACUAACUGCGUUCGUAUGGUACUAAUUGUAAUGUUCAGAAUGUAAAUUGUAUUGUACUCGUUGUACCUUUAGUGUAAUAGAUAAAAUGUUGAACCUGUUGCAUGUUGCACUGUUGUAAUAGGAUUUAAUUGGCACCUGAACAGCAUCAUAUAAGAAUUAAACAAAGACUUGUAACACAUGGCCAUCAGCAUGGGUCUGCAGCUCCACCUCCACGGCUGCCACGGCUGCCACAGUUGGCACCCAAAAGCUAGCAAAACUUGUCCCUUGGUAACGAAAUGCCAGAUAGCAACCUUCCUGUUAUGGAAUUUUAGUAUUAAAGAUCCCCUAGUUCUUUCUGAAUUUCCGUGAUUGUGGUCCAAUAAAUGUUCCAAUGGCAGCCGUGACCCCAGCCCAUUGAUCAGAUAUGGUAAAUCUAUAGAUAGGUCUAAGAAAAAGGAUAUGCGAAGGCGCACAAAUGUUAGGAUAGGCCAUGUAUCCAUCGAUGUAUCGUCUGUUCAAAUAACAAAUAAAGUAAUACAAAUUAUACAACUAAAUCGUAAUUGUCGGCUAAGCAAACCAUUGCAAAACAUUUGGUGAAAAACAAGAUAGUAUAUUAUACAAUAGAUACUUAUAUAUGCAUAUAUGUGAAGCUAUAUAAAAAGAGAACAAGUUUUAUCCGUGCACUGAAUAUAUAUGAAAGGUUUUGAAAUCGAAAAUUUAUUGUAUUUACCUAUUAAGUUGGUGUUUUAAACCAGAAACAAGGACAACAGAAACCGAAAAAAUCGAUGGUAGAACAUUUUAAAUAAAACCUUUUUGGCAACUGACUUUUUACUUUAUCUACAAUUUUAUUGCAACUUUUCAGCUUAAAUUUCAAAUCGUGUUAUCAAAUUCUCAAUUUUACAAACUAAUCAAAUGCAAUUGCGGUACAGGACAUGAUUUCCUAAUCUCAAUCUGAAUCAAUGAUUGCCAUUCACAUGCCAUUGUAGGCGGGGCCGCCACCUCCCUCGGGUACCACCCAGUUGAUAUUCUGCUUGGGAUCCUUAAUAUCACAUGUUUUGCAAUGGAUGCAGUUUUGAGCGUUGAUCUGCAGCUUCAUGUUGCCGCCCUCCUCACUGGGCACGUACUCGUACACGCCGGCGGGGCAGAAACGCUGCUCGGGACCCUCGUACAGCGCCAGGUUGUGAUCGACGGGAAUGCGGUCGUCCUUCAGCGUGAGAUGUGCUGGCUGGUCGCCCUCAUGACUGGUGCCGGUGAGGGCCACCGAUGAAAGCAGGUCGAAGGAUACCUUGCCAUCGGGUUUGGGGUAGACAAUGGGCUCACUGGCACUGGCCAGCUGCAGCGAUUCGUGAUCUUGGGGACCGUGCUUUAAGGUCCAGGGCUCCCGGCCGCCCAUGAAAAUGGAGAAGCCACUCAGGACGAGACCGCCGUACAGGCCCAACGGAUUGUGGAACGAGGGAUGGACAUUACGCACCUUGUACAGAUCCUUCCACACAAAUGAAU